rnacentral:rRNA from 1 species
GUGUAAUGGACCACCAAACCUGUAACGGGAAGGGGCCUUGAGAGAGGGGGCCCGGACAUGGACACUGAGAGAAGGGUCCAGGUCCUACGGGGCGCAGCAGGCGCGAGAGGUUCGCAAUGCGCGAAAGCGUGACGAGGUUAAUCCGAGUGGUCCCCGCUGAGGGGAUCUUUUGUUGCCUCUAAAAAGGCCGAUGAAUAAGGGGACGGCAAGUCUGGUGUCACCCGCCGCGGUAAUACCAGCUCCUCGAGUGGUCGGGGCGAUUAUUGUCCCUAAAGCAUCCGUAUCCGGUUCUGUAGGUCCUCUGUCAAAUCCAACGGCUUAACCGUUGGCCCGCAUAUGAUACCGCAGGACUAUUAUGCGGUAGAGGUGGACGGUACUCGACGUGUAUUGCUAAAAUCCUUUGAUCCGUCGAACA